GAAGCUCUCUCCCUCACUCCCCUCACCUCUCAGAGAAAUACAAUAUCAGUGUGGACGUAGCCCAAACAUUGGGGUGAACCACGAUACAUCUUGUGUUAUUUACAUUUCUGCAGAUUUACGGUCGGAUUUACUUUGUUCCAAGACAUCCGGUUUUGUGCUUCAAUAUUUGACGCCGUCUGUGGGAAUCGACACAAAAAGCUAUGUUGGUUCUCUUUCAUUUUUUCAUCUCACCACCGUGAAACUGCAGACACCAAGAACCCAGAAAACCUCACUCUUUAGGGCUUUUCUAGAAAACCUUCGCAGAAUCUGCGCAGUUUUAAAAAAUCCACCCAACAUACCUUAAGAAGCACAAAGACUCUCUGUACCUGUUCAAUAUCAAGUCAAAAGCAGAAUAAGGGGCACCAACUUUCAAAAAGCAUAUACAAAAAGCCCCAAACUUUCGUUUCACACGGCCACAACCAAAUGGAUCCACCUCCACUACCGCCUCUCCCCACCAGUCACCACCACUGCAACUACGACAGCCACUAGCAUGCAACUCAAUUACCCCGACUCCGUGGACUCCUCCCCUCGCUCCUGCAACGCCGACACCUGGGAUGACCCUCUCCUUCAAGUCCCCGGCGCCAAGCUCCGCCUCAUAUGCAGCUACGACGACCACAUCCCCUGCCCCCAUGACAAGUCCCUCUGCUACGUUGGUGGCGAAACUCGCAUUAUUGUCGUCGAGCGCCACUCCAUUCUCUUUGAUCUCUGCUCCCGCCUCUCACGAACGCUCUUCAACGGCCGCCGCUUCUCCCUUAAGUACCAGCUCCCCAACGAAGACCUUGACUCCCUCAUCUUCGUCACCACCGAUGAAGAUCUCGACAACAUGGUCGAAGAAUACGACCGCACCGCCUCCGCCUCCCCCCACAAACCCUCCCACCUUCGACUGGUCACAAGGAGAGAGUUUGGGUUUCCUACCUGGGAUCGCCUACAAGUUUCCUCCGUGAGCAGGCCAAACAACCCCUCACUUGCUGCCUCAAUCGCGGCCUUUUCAAAGCAGCUACAAACUUUGGCGCUUUUCAAUUUCUGAAAUUUCAGAACCAAAAAAGAAGAGGAAGAAAGGACUUGCUAGAGAGAGAGAGAGAUGGUGAACAUGGAGGAUAACUUCCUUGAUUUCGAGUCAGAAGACCCAUUUCUCACUAGCCCUGCCGUUACCAAAAGAAGGAGGAAGACUAUUGGGUUGGAUGAUUUUUUGACUGACUUCUACAAGGAAGAAGACAAGAUUGUUGAAAAGGAAGCUAAGCAUGCAAAAGCACGAAGGAACAAUGAGUCAGAUGAAGAAGAUAAUGACAAAGAGGCUACUCUCUUUGACAUUGUCGAUAAGUGUGAAAGCGAGGCAUGUUAACUCUCUUGUUUUGGUCUUUUCUGGUGUUAUUUGUGUACUGCUCUCCUUUUCAAAAACAAAGGAGGAAAUAAUAUGAUUCCAACUGGUCACAAGAGUUUGGGUUUUCCUACUUGGGAUCGUCUGCAACAAGUUUCCUCCGUGAGCAGGCCAAACAACUCCUCACCCGUUGCCUCAACCGCGGCCGAGCUCACCUAAUGGUCACUCCUACCUCGCCUUCUUCGGCGCCGAAGUCAUCACCUUCACAAACCACUUCACAAACCAGAUUCCAUCUCCUGUGAAUACCACGAGCACUAGUGGAAAACAGGAAGAAGAUAAGUUUUCUUACAAUAUUUCUAUUAUUAUUCUCCUUUGUGUUGUCUGCCAUAUGCCAAAAGAAAUAAGAUAAAAAGAAAGAAAAACAAAGAAAAAGGAAAAGGAGGUCUGUAGCUGAUGCCAAAGCAAAAGCAGAAAAGAGGUGAGUCCCAUUGGAGCGGGGAGAUCAAGAAAAGCAGAAAAGCAAAAGUAAAGCAGAAAGCAAAAGAAGAUAAAUAAUUGCGGUGGGGAUGACAUGCAAAAAAGGAAAUUAUGGGCGUGACCCAUUGAGCAGAGGAUUAGAUUUAUUUUUGAAUGAUGUAAUUUAUUUUUCGUAUCUUUCGGAGAUAUCUGUAUAACCCCAUCAGAGGGUAAUAAUAAAAAAAUAAAAAAAAAAAAACAGCAAAAAUUGGUUGGAAUGUUGUACGGAGGGCGAAGGCCUAUAAGCCCAAAAUAGCACCAACCAAGUGAUCAAAAGUACGUCCAGUACCACAAAAAAUUAUUCGGCACCCUACUGCUAUUAUCAUCAACCAGGUGAUCAAAAGUACGUCCAGUACUUCAAAAAUUAUUCGGCAAUCUGCCGCUAUUACCACCAACCAGGUGAUCAAAAGUACUUCCAGUACUCCAAAAAAUUGUUCGGCAGCCUGCCUCUAUUAUCACCAAUCAGGUGAUCAAAAGUACAUCUAGUACUUCAAAUUAUAUAUGAGCAUUACUCAUGUCAAUCAUACAUAAACAUUCAUGAGCAUUACUCAUGUCAAUCAACAUAAACAUUCAUGAAUAUCACUCAUGUUAAUCAGCUUCAAAAGCUUCAUUUACAAAAGCUCUAGCUUCAAAAGCUUCAUUUACAGAGCUCCAGCUUCAAAACUUCACUUGCAAAGCUUCACCUAUAAAGCUUCAGUGCAGGGUAUACAAAUAUCGCCUCUGAACAACCGCCACUUCGAUCCAUACAUGGAUUCAGUUUGAAGUCUCCAGCCAACAAACUCUAUUGACCGAAUACUUGGGGGACUACAUUAUGUACCAUAUAUUGGGCAUCAACUGGGUCUCAUGAAAAAUACAAAAUACUUGGGGGACUUAGCCCAUCACUUAUGUAUAGAGGAGCAAGCCCUUAUUCUAUAAAAGGGACUCUCUCACCAUCAUUACAGAGCAUCAACUCUAGCCCAUCAUUCAUGUAUCGAGGAGCGAGCCCUUAUUCUAUAAAAGGGACUCUCCCACCUUCAACGCCACAAUCCGAGCCAACCAAGGUAACAUAAACCACGAGUCGAGUAGCCUCGCAGCAUGUGCUACUUCUAGUUGAGCAUCAUUUCAGAUUGAACACCGCCUCAUAUCGAACAUCAAUUCAAGACAACAUCUAGUUACUUCGGCUCACACAUGGACUGAAUUUCAAGUCUCCAGCCAAAAGACUCUCUUGACUGAAGACUUGGGAGACUACUGUUUAUACCAUAUUUAGGGCCUCUGUAUUUAUAUCUCGUACAAAUACUCGGAAGAUUUAACUGUAAUUAUGUAAUAAAGGAAGGGGCAAAUAUGUAAUAAGUGAGGAACCCUUAUUCUAUAAAAAGACUCCUCAUCCUCAUAAUUAGAGGAGGCCAUUUUCUUAGGCCAUGGGAAGGACUCUCACCCUCAGAAGCUCUCUCCCUCACUCCCCUCACCUCUUAGAGAAAUACAAUAUCAGUAUGGACGUAGCCCAAACAUUGGGGUGAACCACGAUACAUCUUGUGAUAUUUACAUUUUUUGCAGAUUCACGGUCGGAUUUACGUUGUUCCAAGACAUUCGGUUUUGUGCAUCAACAUGUUUAAUUGGUUUAUAGCUGGAUUUAAUAUAAUUAACUGUAUACGAGGUGGGUCUUUAUGGGACUUUCUAACUUUCAUAUGACAAUGACUUUAAAUUUUGUAUAUGGAUUGUUUCUUCUCAAAAAAAAAAAAAAAUUUGUAUAUGGAUGAUAGUGUUGAACUGAUGUCUACACCAUCGUAGUUUCAUAUUUGCAAUUAUGCAUUAAACAUGGUGUCUUUAGUUGAUAGACGCAUAUUAUGCACCUUGUUGGGUUUCCACAUAGCAAACGAAGUUGGGACAAGCAAAAUAAUAUGGCACGCACUUAGCAAUCGGUUAGGCACAAGUCUUGACGUGAAUAAGUUUGUGUUGGGGUUUUACAGAUUUAAUUGUAAGAAAUGGCCGUAUUUUCCGUUUAUAUCACUGAGACAAUUUGUUCGUAUUGUAUGCUUUUCAUUAAUCUUUAUUAGAAAGUAUACAGAAAAACAAGCAGAUACUUAUUUACAACGAGUCUGACCAUGUACGUUCUAUUAUUCCAGAUGUCUGUGCAAGAGUUUCCUGCAAACUCCACUGUUAUGGAUCUGCUGGAAAGAGCUGGGCGAGGGAGCUUGAGAAGGACACCAUACGGGUUACCACUGAAGGAAGAACUGAGGCCCAGGCUGAAUCAUGUGCCAGUGAACGAUCCUGCAUGCGAGCUGCAGAUGGGGGAUGUGGUGGAACUGACUCCAGCUAUUCCGGACAAGUCUUUGACAGAGUACAGAGAAGAGAUUCAGCGCAUGUACGACCGGGGCUUCAGUGUAUCAAGUGCAGGGCCCGCUGCUAAUAGUAUGGCAGGUUGGAGAAGUUGACCGGCACGCAGAUUGUCCCGUUUAUGGUUGGUUGUAUCUAGUGACACCAAAGUCGUUCUUGUAUAUAAAUGAAGCAUUUGUACAGAACAGGUACGUGGUUCUGUUAUUCGAUGACUAACUGAAUUCAACAAGGUGUUAAAAUUGUUUUAUCUUGAAGGGUUCUCACUUGUAUGCGCUAUUGUCUCCCGGCACUUAUGUUUUUACAAGUUUCUGUAUAGACUCGGAUGACUAAGGUUGCAACUUGCUUUGUUAUUUCGACAUCCCUUUGCUUCUCUGUUGACAUGUUGCGAAUUCUCGUAUCCCCUCACCUUAUCGGACAAUUGGUAUUCUGAUUUAUACGAGCAAUAUUAGGAGAGGGAGAAGGAUAGGGGACUAGGUCUAUGGAGAUUAGCUAAUGUCUUACAUACGAUGAAGAGUUUAUGGAGAUUUUCCAGAGUAACAGAUAGUUUGGAAUUUUUAAUCGUUAGAACUUUACUUUAAAAUAAAAAUUAAAUCUAACGGAUAAAAAGUCUGGAAUAUCAUAUACUCCACAAUAUCAUAGAACUUUUGGAGUUAUUGAUCACAACGGGUAAGAAAAAAUGCAAAACUGGUUCAUGUUUUUUUAGUACAAGUGAUAUAACUAGGCCUGGCAAACGGGUCGUGUCAGUCGUGUUCGUGUCGUUUUCGUGUAACACCUG
rnacentral:lncRNA from 1 species